rnacentral:rRNA from 1 species
UUAUCCGGAUUUAUUGGGUUUAAAGGGUGCGCAGGCGGGAUGUUAAGUCGGCGGUGAAAUUUUGCAGCUCAACUGUAAAAGUGCUUUCGAUACUGGCUUUCUUGAGUGUGGAUGAAGUAGGCGGAAUUUGUGGUGUAGCGGUGAAAUGCUUAGAUAUCACGAGGAACUCCGAUUGCGCAGGCAGCUUACUAAACCACUACUGACGCUCAUGCACGAAGGCGUGGGGAUCAAACAGGAUUAGAUACCCUGGUAGUCCACGCAGUAAACGAUGAUUACUAGUUGUUUGCGAUACAAUGUAAGCGACUGAGCGAAAGCGUUAAGUAAUCCACCUGGGGAGUACGUUCGCAAGAAUGAAACUCAAAGGAAUUGACGGGGGCCCGCACAAGCGGAGAAACAUGUGGUUUAAUUCGAUGAUACGCGAGGAACCUUACCCGGGCUUGAAAUGCGGCGGACCGGCAGAGAGAUCUGCCUUCCCUUCGGGGCCGCCGUGUAGGUGCUGCAUGGUUGUCGUCAGCUCGUGCCGUGAGGUGUCGGCUUAAGUGCCAUAACGAGCGCAACCCUCAUCAUUAGUUACUAACAGGUCAUGCUGAGGACUCUAGUGAGACUGCCAUCGUAAGAUGCGAGGAAGGUGGGGAUGACGUCAAAUCAGCACGGCCCUUACGUCCGGGGCGACACACGUGUUACAAUGGGUGGUACAAAGGGCAGCUACCUGGCGACAGGAUGCUAAUCUCCAAAACCACUCUCAGUUCGGAUCGGAGUCUGCAACUCGACUCCGUGAAGCUGGAUUCGCUAGUAAUCGCGCAUCAGCCACGGCGCGGUGAAUACGUUCCCGGGCCUUGUACACACCGCCCGU